rnacentral:misc_RNA from 1 species
AUGCGAUAAGUAAUGUGAAUUGCAGAAUUCAGUGAAUCAUCGAAUCUUUGAACGCACAUUGCGCCCGGGAGCAUUCUCCCGGGCAUGCCUGUUCGAGCGUCAUUUCAACCCUCGACCUCCCCUUGGGGAGGCCGGCCGUUGGAGAUCGGCAGCGAUUGCCGGCUCCCAAAUUCAGUGGCGACCCGCCGCGGGGACCCCUGCGCAGUAACAUACACUCGCACCGGAAACCAGACGUGUCACGCCGUAAAACCCCAACUUUCUGAACGUUGACCUCGGAUCAGGUAGGAAUACCCGCUGAACUUAA